CACGUUCAGGGACCCAGAGGUUAAACUGCAAAAAGGAGAGAGGAGGCAAAAAGAGCACUUCCACCAGGGUGUGACAUCUUGGCUCCUUGCUGAUGUUCCCUGGAAAUCAGACUUGAGGAGUGACUGGUGAUUGCCUUUAACAGAUGACUUCAAGUGGCCAUUAGCAAAGCUCUUGCUUCACCUGGGAACUUUUGUGUAGUGUUGCAGAUGAAGAAUGGAUGUCACAUGUUACCCCAGAGGUGGCUGCAUUUCAGUGGUGGGCAGAAUGAUCCCUGUACCACAAGACAGAGAGACCAUGAAGAUGGGCAAGAUAUAAAAACUUCUAUACAGUCUGUGAAGUGCUUUGGCACCGAACAUAGUUAAAGGCACUUUUGAAAUACACUCUGGUUGUUCUGCCAAAAAGCAAAUAAUAUGGUGCAUUCUGCCUGAUGCCCAAUAAUUAGUAGAAAGGGGGCUACGCCACAAAGUUGGGGUCCCGAUCUAGACUCCUCCAAAGUUCAGCAGUGUGUGGAUAUGGGGUUUUGGUUCAGGUCCGUCUCUGCCACAACAUGAUCCGAUGCCUGGAAACAGAAGUCAGCCAAGUUCAAGCUUGAAAUUUGUAACAGUGAGGGUAGUUAACUGAUGGAACAUGGUGGAUUCUCCAUGCGGAAUCUUUAAAUCAAGAUUGGAUGUCUUCCUAACAGAUAUGCUGUAGUUCAGCCGCACAUAAGGGGACUUGAUGAGGUUCUUCGGUCUGUGUUAUGCAGGAAGUGAGACUAGAUUAUCAUAAUGGUCCUGCUUGGCCUUAGAGGUCAUGGCUUUUAAGGCCAAAAGGGAAGAUUAUGGUCUUCUAUUGAGACCACCUGCAUAACACGAGCUAAAUCUAGAAGUCUGGGAUGAUUAGCUGAUAGAACUGCCCACACCAAAAUGAUUUACAGAGUAUGAAAAAAAUUCCUCAUCAGGGCUAGGUUAUCCAGCUUCUCUCAUUGCUGGUGGGUUUCCGACUACUUGAAAAUGUAAAUUAUUCACAUUCUUGACUGGGCUCAGGUGAGCACAGGUGUGUUAGUCUGGUCCCCCCAUGCAUUCCACUCCACCUUCAGGCAGACAGACCCACCAUUGUACUGCAGGGAGCAGGGUGUCCAAUGCAUAUUCAUCAGAUGCAUGCAGUGCAGGAGAUCAAAUGCAUAUUUGGGGUGGGGGGAUGAGGGUUGUGCCACAACUCACUAGAGUCCAGGGAAAUAAGGACUGCAAGCCUGUGGACAUUGAAACAUGUAAUCUGGUUUUAUAUGAGAAAAGCAAUUUACAAGCCAAAUUAUCUUUUCCCCUGUGACUCUGCAGAGUAACUCAGUUAAAUGAAGAAGGAAAAUAUAACCCUUAUUCCAAACUCCCCAUCCCCUUUGGCUUUCACACUGAUUAGUCUCUAGAGCUAUUUAACACAUUAAACUUCUUAUAAGGUUUCUGUCAAGAAGGAUUAGCA